UACGAGUGCGUCAAGCGUUAUCCGGAAUCAUUGGGCGUAAAGGGUGUGUAGGCGGUUAUGUUAGUCUUGCGUUAAAUCUACUGGCUCAACCGGUAGGCUGCGUGGGAAACGGCAUGACUUGAGGAUGGUAGGGGUCUCUGGAACUCAUGGUGUAGCGGUGAAAUGCGUUGAUAUCAUGGGAACACCGAAGCGAAGGCAAGAGACUGGACCACUCCUGACGCUGAAACACGAAAGCGUGGGUCGCGAAUGGG
rnacentral:rRNA from 1 species